AGAUAAACCCGAUUGCCAGCGGUAGGCUUUGAAGCAAAAUGCAAAAAGACUAAAGCAGAAAGCGGGACUAGAA
rnacentral:sRNA from 1 species